rnacentral:ncRNA from 1 species
CCUUGUUUUUUAUCAAAAUUAUACAUGCAAGCCUCCACACACCAGUGAGAAUGCCCAUUUUUUCCCAAACAGCUAGCCGGAGCGGGUAUCAGGAUACAACACCAACCUUUUAGCCAAAGACACCUUGCAAACGCCACACCCACACGGGCCUUCAGCAGUAAUUAACAUUAAAACAUGAGCGCAAGCUCGACUUAGUUAUGAUAAACAUGGUUGGUAAAUUUCGUGCCAGCCACCGCGGUUAUACGAAAGACCAAAAACAACGGCCCACGGCGUAAAGCGUGACUAGAGAUACCCACCUACUAAAGGGGAAUAGCGGCCAAGUUGUAAAACACUACUGCACGCUAGAACCACAAUAAAUGCUGCCUUUAGCCUCCUUUACCUCACGAAAGCUGAGAAACAAACUGGGAUUAGAUACCCCACUAUGCUCAGCCAUUAACACAGAUAAUACAAAUACAAUAUUAUCCGCCAGAGGACUACAAGCGAAAAGCUUAAAACUCUAAGGACUUGGCGGUGCUUCAAAUCAACCUAGAGGAGCCUGUCCUAUAAUCGAUACCCCACGUUUUACCUCACCUCUCCUAGCCAAACAGCCUAUAUACCGCCGUCGCCAGCUUACCCUGUGAAAGACAUAAAGUGAGCAAAAAAGUUUAAAACUAAUACGUCAGGUCAAGGUGUAGCACAUGGAGCGGAAGAGAUGGGCUACAUUUUUUCAAAGAACAAACACGAAUAGUGAGUUGAAAUACACACUUGAAGGCGGAUUUAACAGUAAUAUGGGUAAGAAAAACCAUAUUAAACCUGCUCUGAAGCGCGCACACACCGCCCGUCACC